rnacentral:rRNA from 1 species
AGAGCGAACGCUGGCGGCAUGCUUAACACAUGCAAGUCGCACGGGCACUUCGGUGUCAGUGGCGGACGGGUGAGUAACGCGUAGGUAUCUAUCCUUGGGUGGGGGACAACGGUUGGAAACGACUGCUAAUACCGCAUGAUAACUGAGGUUUAAAGGCGCAAGUCGCCUGAGGAGGAGCCUGCGUACGAUUAGCUAGUUGGUGGGGUAAAGGCCUACCAAGGCGACGAUCGUUAGCUGGUCUGAGAGGAUGAUCAGCCACAUUGGGACUGAGACACGGCCCAAACUCCUACGGGAGGCAGCAGUGGGGAAUAUUGGACAAUGGGCGAAAGCCUGAUCCAGCAAUGCCGCGUGUGUGAAGAAGGUCUUCGGAUUGUAAAGCACUUUCGACAGGGACGAUGAUGACGGUACCUGUAGAAGAAGCCCCGGCUAACUUCGUGCCAGCAGCCGC